rnacentral:lncRNA from 1 species
UCGAAUCGAUCACAUGAAAUAUUGUGGUUGCCUGCAAAUCCCCUAUGACAAUUUCCAAACGAACAAUGCCUAUCACCAGUUGUGCUCCUUGAUUAAAGCCAUGAAUCACCAAUUUACUGCUUGAUAACUCCUCAAUUGAGAUACCCAAUUGAUUAAUGGUUGAUUUUGGCAGAAUGUUGAUGGUAGAACCAUUAUCGAUGAUAAUUCGAUUGAGCUUUUGCUCUCGAACAUAUCUAGACACGAAUAUGGGUCGAUUAUGAAGCUUUGACCCAAGUAACAAGUCCUCAUCACUGAAUGAUAUUGACGUACAACAGGGAUCACACACCUUCGUUUGUGAUGUAUAAAUAGUCGAGACAUAAUCAUUUUUUAAUAUCUCGACAAUUGUAUCCUUGAUUUCUCGCGGAAGUGACAGAAGAUCAUUUACACCAAAAGAAGGCAAUUCCUCUUGCUUGGUGGCUGUUUCCAUGGGAUAUGAGGGAGAAGUGUCAUUGUCAGUCGUACUGACCGCAUGACAUGAAGCUAUUUCAAUUGGAAAGUUUUCUGGAAAGAAGUCCAAUAGACUUAUUGGUUGUCGUGGUCAAGGAAGCUCUUCACUUUCUUCCGUGAUUGGUUGAAACUUUCUCGCGUUCUUUUUUGUUUUUCUUCUCUGAUACUUACUCUUUCUUUUGUACUUGCGGUAUGAGCGAGUUUCUUUUGUAGUAGAGUUUUGUUUGUGCCUCUUUCGACGCGUCACUAGCGUCCAUCCCUCAUCAACAUCCUCUACCUGCUUUUAUUCUUCUUUGGAGCCAACAGUUUGGAGGUCAUCAUUUUGUAAGGCCACCGGUGAAGAAUAUAUGAAGAUAGGCUCUAAAGAUACAAAUUGGAUCAGAUUCCUUGCAGCAGGUAAUCGAUCAUCCGAAUGAAUUGUUUCUGUGGCAAGAUUUGUUUGUGCUACAUCAUCAAGAUCUAGCUCAAUCUUUUUGUCUAGAGCUAAUUUCAAAAUCAACUCCUUCAACACAAAACAUUUCUCCACAGGAUGACUGAUGACUCGAUGAUAUUUGCAGUAAUUGAGAUCUUUUACCCUCCUCAUUUCCGCAGGUCGUUUACAUUUAGGAAGUUGAAUUGGUUGCUUUUCCAGUAGUUGCUCCAACAUAUCAAGUAAGUGGGAGUUUGGAAAAGGAUAAACUUUUUCUUGUCUUUCUUUCAACAUCAGACAUUUUUUUUCGUCUUCUUCUUGUUGUUUCUCAAAUUUCUUUUCUUUGUAGAUAAACUUCAAAGUUGUCGUGCUGACGACCAUAGCCUCCUUGGUAGAACAUUUUGAUACCUUAUGGGUGCUCUUCACUUCUUUUUUCUCUUUUCUAACUUCUGGAACCAGUAAAUCAUUGUUCCCUCUAUUAGCAAUACUUAACUCCAUAUUGUGAGCUCUAGUUGCUAACUCUUCAAAGGUGCGAGGUUUUAUUCCCUGUAAGAUGUACAGGAGUCCCCAAUGCAUUCCUUGAGUAUACAUCUCUACUGUCAACAAUUCAGUUAAUCUAUAUUUGCAAUCAAGGCUUAAUGCUCUCCAACGGUUAAUAUAAUCGACGAAUUGCUCACCCUUUCGCUGCUUGGUGGCAGUUAACUCUAUCAUGCUGACAAUACGACGAGUGCUGUAGAAACGGUUGAGAAAGUCCCUUUCAAGCUGCUCCUAACUGUCGAUGGAUCCAGGCUCCAAGUCUAUGUACCAGUUAAAGGCAUUUCCUUUGAGAGUUCGGACGAACUGUUUGACCAACAAAUCUCCCCUGUACCAGCAUUUUCACAUGUUUCAAUAAAAUGAGCAACAUGUUGUUUUGGGUUGCCCUUUACAUCAAACUGUUGGAACUUGGGUGGCUAGUACCCAUUCGACAUUCUCAGGUUGUCGAUCCUCUUCGUAUACGGCUUGGAGUACAAAGAGAAAGUUUGAGUGAGUCCACCAUAUUGAGUUUUGAUGGAGUUUGCAAUCAUCUCCUGCAAUUGCUGGACAAACAGAGAUGCAAUUGAAGUCGAAUUUUGUGGUUGAAUUUCUUGCAUAAUUGCCUUGCCUUUGUCAACAUUCUUGACAGUAUGUGUGUGACUUGAUUCAGCAACAUCAUGACUCUCGAUCUGAUUCUUUAGAGAUUCAAUCUCGUAGUCCAUUUCUUUAAGCGCCUUCAUGAGCAUGUUAACCCUCUUUUCGAGCUCGACCAUUCUAUUUUUGCUUGUAUCCAUGCCAGUCAAUAAUUGACAUUAUGUUUGGAAGAGGCCCCUCUUCAUUUAAGCGUUCAGAAGAUGAGUUGUGUUCAUCAAUCACAAGAUUUUCUUUGAUUACAAUUCCACUUUUUGGUGGACUGGAGAUUUGUUCCCAAAUAUUCUUUGCGACCUCAAAGUGUGGCACAUCCUCAAAUGAAUAAAAUUUCCUUGAGCGACUGCGAGUAUUUGGUCGCUUGCUGAUGUCACCUAGAGCUUUGGAAGUGUUGCCUUGAAAUGUCACGGCUUUCUUAGAGAUGUCCUUCAAAAAGAGAAAGAGAUGAAAGGUAGAGAUUGUCCCACCGGGCGUGCCAAACUGUUCACACGAGAUUUUGAAGAAAUUUAAUUCAUGGUAUUGAACUUUGUAUAUUGAUGAAUAUUGUAAAUACAAUCUCUAGUGUUUACUCAUUUGAUGGUUUCUCUCAAAUACAAGAUAAAAUAAACUUCAAAACUUCGUAAUCUUCGGUCUUCAAGAUGUUGUAGUUGCAAGUUGAUCUGAGCUUCGAUCUUCUGGAAUCCAAGGAAAGUGUAAUCUCCAAGUCUUCCAUCUUUCAGAAGAUGUUGAUCUCGAGGUUGAUACAGACUUGCACAUCUUGAGAGCUUGUAGAAGUUUGAAUCUUCAACUUUUCAAAGCUUCAGUACUUCAAAGCUUCAAUUCUUCCUUCAAUUCAAGAUCUCCAAAAUGAAUAACAAGGGUCUCUAUUUAUAGAGAAAUUUCAUGAGCUGGUGGGCUUGGGCCUAUUUGCUUGUUGGGCUUGGGCCCAUAUGUUUCUUGGACAUGGGCUUGAGCCUAUUUGUUUGUUGGGCUUGGGCUUGGGCCCAUUUGCUUCUUGGACUCGGACUUGAGCCCAUUUGUUUGUUAGACCACAAUAUUUGCUGUGAUGAUGUGGUGGAAUUUAAUUAGCCAAAAUUGCAUACUCAACAAAGUUAUUUUGAAAAAAGUUGUGAUGUUUUGCAAGUUUACAUAAUGCAUUUGUUUAAAAAUUAUUUUACAAAAUAGUUCAUUUUAGAGAAAUAAUUAAAACCAAUUUUAUUGAAAAUGAAUUAUAUAAGUGAUUGACCCGGGAAUUCACAAUUUUUUUCAUCUUAUAUUAAAA